rnacentral:rRNA from 1 species
CCUACGGGAGGCAGCAGUGAGGAAUAUUGGUCAAUGGCCGGAAGGCUGAACCAGCCAUGCCGCGUGAAGGUCAGUGCCCUAUGGGCGUUAAACUUCUUUUGUGCGGGAGCAAUAGUGGUCACGUGUGGCCAGACGAGAGUACCGUACGAAUAAGCAUCGGCUAAAUACGUGCCAGCAGCCGCGGUUAUACGGGGGUUGCAAGCGUUAUCCGGAUUUAUUGGGGUUAAAGGGUGCGUAUGCUGUGAGGUAAGUCAGCGGUGAAAUGCCACCGCUCAACGGGGUGAAGUGCAAUUGAUACUGGCUUGCUGGAAUGCAGAUGCCGUGGGAGGAAUGUGUGGUGUAGCGGUGAAAUGCAUAGAUAUCACACAGAACACCGAUUGCGAAGGCAUCUCACGAAUCCGCGAUUGACGCUGAUGCACGAAAGCGUGGGUAUCAAACAGGAUUAGAUACCCUAGUAGUC